rnacentral:rRNA from 1 species
GAUGAACGCUGGCGGCGUGCCUAAUACAUGCAAGUCGAGCGAACAGACGAGGAGCUUGCUCCUCUGACGUUAGCGGCGGACGGGUGAGUAACACGUGGAUAACCUACCUAUAAGACUGGGAUAACUUCGGGAAACCGGAGCUAAUACCGGAUAAUAUAUUGAACCGCAUGGUUCAAUAGUGAAAGACGGUUUUGCUGUCACUUAUAGAUGGAUCCGCGCCGCAUUAGCUAGUUGGUAAGGUAACGGCUUACCAAGGCAACGAUGCGUAGCCGACCUGAGAGGGUGAUCGGCCACACUGGAACUAGGACAGGGUCCAGACUCCUACGGGAGGCAGCAGUAGGGAAUCUUCCGCGAUGGGCGGAAGCCCGACGGAGCAACGCCGCGUGAGUGAUGAAGGUCUUCGGAUCGUAAAACUCUGUUAUUAGGGAAGAACAAAUGUGUAAGUAACUAUGCACGUCUUGACGGUACCUAAUCAGAAAGCCACGGCUAACUACGUG